rnacentral:rRNA from 1 species
GAAAUGGAUUAGCGGCGAACGGGUGAGGAACACGUGAAGAAUCUGCCCUCCACUUUGGGAUAACACCGGGAAACCGGUGCUAAUACCGAAUAUUGAAACAUAAGUGGCAUCACUGAGUUUUGAAAGAAUUUCGGUGGAGGAUGACUUCGCGGCCUAUCAGCUAGUUGGUGAGGUAAUGGCUCACCAAGGCAACGACGGGUAGCCGGCCUGAGAGGGCGACCGGCCACACUGGGACUGAGACACGGCCCAGACUCCUACGGGAGGCAGCAGUGGGGAAUAUUGGGCAAUGGAGGAAACUCUGACCCAGCGACGCCGCGUGCGGGAUGAAGGCCUUCGGGUUGUAAACCGCUUUCAGUAGGGAAGAAGCGAAAGUGACGGUACCUACAAAAGAAGCACCGGCUAACUAUGUGCCAGCAGCCGCGGUAAUACAUAGGGUGCAAGCGUUGUCCGGAAUUAUUGGGCGUAAAGAGCUCGUAGGUCGUUUGUUACGUCGGAUGUGAAAACCUGAGGCUCAACCUCAGGCCUGCAUUCGAUACGGGCAAACUAGAGUUUGGUAGGGGAGACUGGAAUUCCUGGUGUAGCGGUGGAAUGCGCAGAUAUCAGGAGGAACACCAAUGGCGAAGGCAGGUCUCUGGGCCAAUACUGACACUGAGGAGCGAAAGUCUGGGGAGCGAACAGGAUUAGAUACCCUGGUAGUCCAGACCGUAAACGGUGGGCACUAGUUGUGGGAACCUUCCACGGUUUCUGCGACGCAGCUAACGCAUUAAGUGCCCCGCCUGGGGAGUACGAUCGCAAGAUUAAAACUCAAAGGAAUUGACGGGGCCCCGCACAAGCAGCGGAGCAUGCGGCUUAAUUCGACGCAACGCGAAGAACCUUACCAAGGCUUGACAUAUAGGGAAAAGUGGCAGAGAUGUCAUGUCCGCAAGG